UAGGGAAUAUUGGUCAAUGGAUGCAAGUCUGAACCAGCCAUGCCGCGUGCAGGAAGAAGGCCCUAUGGGUUGUAAACUGCUUUUGCCAGGGGAUAAAAAGGCUCUGCGGAGCGAAUUGUAGGUACCUGGUGAAUAAGCCACGGCUAACUACGUGCCAGCAGCCGCGGUAAUACGUAGGUGGCAAGCGUUGUCCGGAUUUAUUGGGUUUAAAGGGUGCGUAGGCGGUCUUAUAAGUCAGUGCUGAAAUAUCCCGGCUUAACCGGGAGGGUGGCAUUGAUACUGUAGGACUUGAGUAAAGUUGAGGUUGGCGGAAUUGACGGUGUAGCGGUGAAAUGCUUAGAUAUCGUCAAGAACACCUAUUGCGAAGGCAGCUAACUAAGCUUUAACUGACGCUGAGGCACGAAAGUGUGGGGAUCAAA
rnacentral:rRNA from 1 species